CGACUUACGAACCGGGAGAUGUCGUUUUGGUCGAGCGAGAGCCUACAGCGUGUGGUGAAUCAAGAAAACUCAAGGAGAAAUACAAAGGACCGUACGUCAUCACGGAAAAACUGCGCAACGACCGAUAUCGCAUCGGGAUGCUGCUCAGUGCACGGCGCGGGAGGAGAGCAUGCAGCAUCGCUCCAGUGGACAAACUAAAGCUGUGGGGCCAGGACGAGAUAGACACGGAUACUUCAGACAGUGAUUCCGACCGGGACGGUCGGUAAUUGCAGGACGGCCGAGUGUGCGCGCUCUUGUUGUGCGAUAUGGGGCUCAAAAGAUGGCGCCAGGCAACAACCACUGUGCGAGCCGAGCCGGCCGGUGGCCGGAGCUGUAAUGUGACACCGAAGUGCACCCCCUGUGGUGAGCGCGGGUGUGCGACUGUGCGCGGGCCCCGGGAGAAGGCAGAGGAGGGACGGCUGUGCAACUGGAGAGACGCCGUAUUCUUGUCUCUCCAGCAGUUUUCUUUACUUUGUCUAAAUAAACGUUGUUCUGUUAAGGGGACCCUGAAAAGGU
rnacentral:lncRNA from 1 species